CCCUAACAGCCCUCCACCUCUCUGCACUCUCUGUGUUCUUUAUUGUAGGAUGUGACUAAGGAACUGUGGGUUGUUGGUAGCAUAGUAGCUAAGCAGCUGGGCUAGCAUGCAGUAGACUGAAAAUAGUGGGUUCAAUCCCCGGCUUCCACCGUUGUGCCUUUGAGCAAGACACUAACCUCAAGUUGCUUAGGGAACAAUGGUCCUUGUCAUUUAGCCUAGUUGACAUAAGUCAGGAGUUUUAGAUAAAAGUGUGUGCUAAAUGAAUAAAUAAUGUAAAUGUAGCUAGCAUGCAGUAGCAAUGUAAAUGUAUAGCUAGCAUGCAGUAAUGUAAUUGUACUUUUUCUUGAGAAGAUACAGCAGGCAAUCCGACUGACCGUAUGCAUGGCUGUUCAAUCGGAAUAGGAACGGAAUACACCACCUCUUUCAUUCCGAUUAAAAUUCUGAACGGAUCUGUUCAUAGACACUGCAAACAACUGAGCAUAGUAUUUAUUAGUGAGGAGAACUGCAGGAAUGUAAAUGAAUGCACUGCAUGAACAUGACUAGACUUUGAACUGGGGUCCAGAGUUCCGUUUGCCUCAGUUCUUUUAUAAAAACCCAUCUGGCUGCCAUUAAAGUUUGAUUAAGUUUGAGUGAAUAGAAAUGGUUGUCCUUGAGUUGUCCUUGGCAUGAAUAGACAGAUAACAGAUCAAAUGUUCAUUCUGUCCCAGAGUGCGUGUGUGUGUGGGUGCGCGUGCGCGUGCGUGUGUGUGUGUGUGCGUGUGUGGGUGUGUGUGUACUAAUGUGUCUGUGUGGUUCUCACUACUGUGAUGUUUUAGUUCAUGGGGAAAUGGUAUAGUUUGGCGAAAGCCUCCACGUGUCCACAUUGGUUAAAGCAAAAAGAAGAUUCAGCUGUCGGCACACUGCUGUUGGACAAGCAGACCUCAGCAAACACACUCAGUGUGACCAAAACUAAAUACAGGCAUGGUGUCUGUAAAAGAGUUCUCAUGAGUACCAACUGACACAAACGCCAGGCAGAUUCCAGAACUACUUUUCCCCAUGUGAUGCUGAUGUGGACCUGUAUGUGGUGGACACUGACUAUGACCAGUAUGCCCUGGUGGUGGAGCACAAACACAAGCGCAACUCUGACAAACCAAUCUUGUUCGUGUCACUCUAUGGUGAGUCACCACCAGGCUG